AUGAACGCUGGCGGCGUGCCUAAUACAUGCAAGUCGAGCGAACAGACGAGGAGCUUGCUCCUCUGACGUUAGCGGCGGACGGGUGAGUAACACGUGGAUAACCUACCUAUAAGACUGGGAUAACUUCGGGAAACCGGAGCUAAUACCGGAUACUAUAUUGAACCGCAUGGUUCAAUAGUGAAAGACGGUUUUGCUGUCUCUUAUAGAUGGAUCCGCGCCGCAUUAGCUAGUUGGUAAGGUAACGGCUUACCAAGGCAACGAUGCGUAGCCGGACUGAGAGGGUGAUCGGCCACACUGGAACUGAGACACGGUCCAGACUCCUACGGGAGGCAGCAGUAGGGAAUCUUCCGCAAUGGGCGAAAGCCUGACGCAGCAACGCCGCGUGAGUGAUGAAGGUCUUCGGAUCGUAAAACUCUGUUAUUAGGGAAGAACAAAUGUGGAAGUAACUAUGGACGUCUUGACGGUACCUAAUCAGAAAGCCACGGCUAACUACGUG
rnacentral:rRNA from 1 species